rnacentral:rRNA from 1 species
GACGAACUGUGCAAACGUUAUUCGGAAUUACUGGGCGUAAAGCGUGCGUAGGUGGUGAGUUAAGUCUGUCGUGAAAGCCCCGGGCUCAACCUGGGAAUGGCGAUGGAUACUGGCUCGCUAGAGUGCGGUAGAGGAGAGUGGAAUUCCCGGUGUAGCAGUGAAAUGCGUAGAGAUCGGGAGGAACAUCAGUUGCGAAGGCGGCUCUCUGGACCGAUACUGACGCUGAGGCGCGAAAGCGUGGGGAGCAAACAGG